UCUAGCUAGUUUAACAACCAAGUAAUAAUAAACUAGUGGUGGCAGUAUAAUUGGUCAAUUGUCAAAAAAGUAAAAGGUCAUAAUCACUUAACAUGGUGGAGAUAUAGAUAUAAUAUGAUGAGCCAAUAAGUACGAAUAUAUUUUACUAACAAAACAAAUGGAAAAUUUUGAUUUUACUGAAAGCAAUUGAACACUUCAGAAUUCAUAUUGAAGUCUCUACAUCAUAUAUAUGCUUCUAUUUUAUUUUUUUAGUUUUUUUUGAAAACUAUAUAAUAAGGUUUAGAUUGUGUGUUCCAUGUAAAUCUUAUUAGUCACCUUGUUUGUCUCUGUUGACAGGUGUAGGAUCGUGCCGCUUCCCGUCUACAAGGUAUAAAAUUUGUUAUAGAUUUGUAAAUAUUAAAUAUGUGUACAAAUAUAAGAAUGAACUAAUUACGAGAGGACAAGUUUUUAAAAAUGUGAUCAUAACUAUAUAUUGCAGCACGAGUGAAUCAAUAUUGAAUGUAUCAAGUGAAGAUGGAUUAGGGCUUUUUGGGAGAAUACCGUCACAUCCAACUCCCAAGCCCGAAGCUUCAAACUCCUCCUCCUCCUCCAUAACUUUCUCUUUUCUCUUCUUCUUCGCUUUUGUUUUUAUAUCUUUUUUGUUAUGAUCACCUUGAUUUUUUUCAUGUAAUAUAUAACUAAUUUCGGCUGAAA
rnacentral:lncRNA from 1 species